rnacentral:rRNA from 1 species
CCAGCAGCCGCGGUAAUACGUAGGUGGCAAGCGUUAUCCGGAUUUAUUGGGCGUAAAGCGAGCGCAGGCGGUUUUUUAAGUCUGAUGUGAAAGCCCUCGGCUUAACCGAGGAAGCGCAUCGGAAACUGGGAAACUUGAGUGCAGAAGAGGACAGUGGAACUCCAUGUGUAGCGGUGAAAUGCGUAGAUAUAUGGAAGAACACCAGUGGCGAAGGCGGCUGUCUGGUCUGUAACUGACGCUGAGGCUCGAAAGCAUGGGUAGCGAACAGGAUUAGAUACCCUGGUAGUCC